rnacentral:lncRNA from 1 species
UGGAAUUCAUUUGCUGAGAAUAGUUGAAUACAGAUUGUUGUUGAGAAUCCAUUGUUGAAGAAGAACUGAGAUGAAUAUCAACUGUUUGCAGAAAUGCCUGAGAGAACUAGGUUUUAACAAGUGAGUGAGAGUGAAGUGUGUGUGAAGUGUGAGAGGAGUGUUUAGAUACCCAAAAGAAACGCAUGCAAAACGACACGCAAAUCAGAGU